GACGAACGCUGGCGGCGUGCUUAACACAUGCAAGUCGAACGGAAAGGCCCUGCUUUUGUGGGGUGCUCGAGUGGCGAACGGGUGAGUAACACGUGAGUAACCUGCCCUUGACUUUGGGAUAACUUCAGGAAACUGGGGCUAAUACCGGAUAGGAGCUCCUGCUGCAUGGUGGGGGUUGGAAAGUUUCGGCGGUUGGGGAUGGACUCGCGGCUUAUCAGCUUGUUGGUGGGGUAGUGGCUUACCAAGGCUUUGACGGGUAGCCGGCCUGAGAGGGUGACCGGCCACAUUGGGACGGAGAUACGGCCCAGACUCCUACGGGAGGCAGCAGUGGGGAAUAUUGCACAAUGGGCGGAAGCCUGAUGCAGGAACGCCGCGUGCGGGAUGACGGCCUUCGGGUUGGAAACCGCUUUCGCCUGUGACGAAGCGUGAGUGACGGUAAUGGGUAAAGAAGCACCGGCUAACUACGUG
rnacentral:rRNA from 1 species